AGCACUAUUUUUAAACCUGUCGGUGGAAUUUCGUGACCACCGUGGGUUACGCUGUAGUGCAAAAGAAUCUCCUGGCUCUUUAGAGCGCAGCUGACCUUGCUCCGUUCAGCUGAUGCUCCUCUGAAGCGGAGGAACAGAA
ensembl:snoRNA